rnacentral:rRNA from 1 species
CAGUCGCCGCGGUAAUACGAAGGGGGCUAGCGUUGCUCGGAAUGACUGGGCGUAAAGGGCGCGUAGGCGGUUUAUACAGUCAGAUGUGAAAUUCCUGGGCUCAACCUGGGGACUGCAUUUGAUACGUAUGGACUUGAGUGGAGAAGAGGGUCGUGGAAUUUCCAGUGUAGAGGUUAAAUUCGUAGAUAUUGGAAAGAACACCAACGGCGAAAGCACUCUGCUGGGCCGACACUGACACUGAGAGACGAAAGCUAGGGGAGCAUAUGGGAUUAGAUACCCCUGUAGUCCCUGUCUCUUAUAC